GCGGAGACGCAUGUUUCCGUUCACUCCUCACACCAUCCGCCGCUCGACGUCGAGUCGGGCGGUU
rnacentral:ncRNA from 17 species